AUUCCAGCUCCAAUAGCGUAUAUUUAAGUUGUUGCAGUUAAAAAGCUCGUAGUUGGAUUUCGGUUGAGAGCGGCCGGUCCGCCGUUUGGUGUGCACUGGCUGGUUUCAGCUUCCUGCAGAGGACGCGCUCUGGGCUUAAUCGUCUGGACGUGGAGUCUGCGUGGUUACUUUGAAAAAAUUAGAGUGUUCAAAGCGGGCUUACGCUUGAAUAUUUCAGCAUGGAAUAACACUAUAGGACUCCUGUCCCAUUUCGUUGGUCUCGGGACGGGAGUAAUGAUUAAGAGGAACAGUUGGGGGCAUUCGUAUUUCAAUGUCAGAGGUGAAAUUCUUGGAUUUUUGAAAGACGAACUUCUGCGAAAGCAUUUGCCAAGGAUGUUUUCAUCA
rnacentral:rRNA from 1 species